rnacentral:rRNA from 1 species
GAGAGUAGGUUAGUCUGCACGAGCGCACCCUAUAUUUAGUUGCCAGCACAUAAUGGUGGGGACUCUAAAUAGACUGCCUGGAAUAACCAGGAGGAAGGUGGGGAUGAUGUCAAGUCAGUAUGUCCCUUAUACCCAGGGCUACACACGUGUUACAAUGGCUAGUACAAAAAGUAGCAAUUCCGCGAGGAGGAGCCAAUCUUUAAAACUAGCCCCAGUUCGGAUUGAAGUCUGAAAUUCGACUUCAUGAAGCAGGAAUCGCUAGUAAUCGUAGGUCAGCACACUACGGUGAAUACGUUCCCGGGUCUUGUACACACCGCCCGUCAAGUCAUGGAAGUCUGCAGUACCCAAAGAUAGUGUUCUAACCUUCGGGAAGAAGCUGUUUAAGGUAAGGCAGGUAACUGGGACUAAGUCGUAACAAGGUAGCCGUACCGGAAGGUGCGGCUGGAUCACCUCCUUUC